CCCACAGUCCCACCCGACAUCCUCGCGCAGAACGCGUCGCUAAUCUCGCGGUCGCGCCUCGGCCGAUCCGCGCCUGCCUGCCGCCGCCCGCGAUUGUAGCUCACCCCGACACCGCGCCCCCUCCUCUCCCCUGACGUGAUGCCCGCCUCCCACCCCUUUCUCCGCAUCGCACGGAUCUAGCGCGGGAAUUGCUCGGCCACGGCUCCGCACACCCUCCCUUCCCAUGAGACGGAGCCGCCGUAUCCUGCUCGCGAGGCAACGGAAGGGUACGUGAUCCUCUGUCUACAUGGAAGGUGAGGCAGAUCGGGGGGAGAGUGGCUCGUGGCAGUCGCCUCGACGGCGUCCUUCGCGCCGUCCGGCGAGGUGUCGUCCAAGCACGGCGUCGUCGGCUACGGGAUCGUGGGCGGGCCCAACGGCAACGCCGUCGCGCCCGCCGCCAAGUCCACCGUCGUCGAGACCACCGUCGAGAGGGUUAUCUUCGAUUUCUGGUUCCUGGCGCUCCUCCCCACCGCUCGGGAACCACUCCACCGCCGAGACCGUCUUAACGAUCGGCUCCGUCGUGGCCCGCCCGCGACCCCGUAUCUGCUCGCGCUCAGCUAGGGUUCAGAUCUGAAAAUGGCCGAUGACGGUGCGAGGAGGGGAAUGCCCGCUGAAGGCUGAAGCUGCCCCCACGGGCUACAGUAGGUGCCAUCGCUCACCACACCGAACACCCCACUGCCCCCAGACCGUGCUCCAGGAACCUACGGCGAUAGGAGGCCACUGAGGAUGGCCCGGUGCGGUACUGCUGCCUUCCGGAGGACGCCGAGCGCCGGAGAGGGGCUCUUCUAUUGGACUUGGAGCAAGCCCACGGCGACAACGCCGGAAGCAAAAUGGCCUCUUCUCUAGAAGGACAUGAGUUCGAUCCACCACAGGGAGGCGCGCCCGCCAGGCUCCAUCUUCGGAUCUGAUCGCCCACCAAGUGGGUUGAGUUCGGAUGACGAGAGUUUGCCUGCAACCGAUCUAAAGGUUAGAGCGAGCGGCAUGUGAUGCGGAAAAAUGAAGUCAGCAAGGAAUACUUCUUAAAAACUGUAAGGAAUAUUGUUGGUGAUAAAUUGCUUAAGCAAGCUGCUUCACGAUAUCAAAUGCAGGCACAACGAAGCCCUCAGACAAACCCAAGCAACUAUUCUUUAUCAGGUCAAGUUUCUGGUCAGCAGACUGCUCCCAGUGGUUCUGUGACAGGAGAUGAACAGAAGGGAUAUCCAUGGGCGCACACCAUCCCUAUGAGACAAGCUAUUGCCAGCACUCGACCAAUUUGCAUAAGGCUAAUGAAAUGGGAAACAUGUCAGAUGGGAAAGGGGUCCAUAUGUUACAAACUCGUCCACCCAAUAACUCCAUACCAGUACAAACAAUGCAGCAUCACGUGCAGUGACCACAAACAUCUUCACCAGUGUUUGGGGCAAAUAGUAUUCAUGCACGUCCAUUUCCGCGGCCAGUUGGAGGUCCAGCUGCACCAUUUAGACCACAAAUGGCAGAUUCCAAUCCAAGAGCACACUUGAUUCGGGGAGCUGUGACCACAGUAUCUGGGAGUGUGCCAACACGAUCCAUAGUGUCUGGAAAUGCGCCAGUCAAUCAAGCCUUGGGAUCUUCAAAAGUCAGUGCUGGCAUGGAAAGCCAGUCACAACAAUUGAGUGCACCUAAAGCCUUUAGCUGCAACAAGCUUAAGUCAGACUCAAUCUCAUGGCAUUCAAGAAGAGCCUAAAAUUCAGGGGAAGAAACAACUAUUAUUCGAGAGUUUGCCUGCAACCGAUCUAAAGGUUAGAGCGAGCGGCAUGUGAUGCGGGAAUAUAUGAGGCCUUGGAGUUGAGGGAUGGAGGAUCUGAUUAUCUUGGCAAGGGUGUUUAUCUUAGACCUCAAAGCUCAAUCUAGCAUGCUCUUCGCUCUGUUUUACUUUCCAUGAUUCGUUGAGUAUCUAUGCAGUUUCUGCACGAUUACUAUGAAUUACGAACUAAACUUAAAUCAAAUACUUCAGUAUGGUCUCUAGAGAGGAAGCUCUGCCAACCAUUACUAAUAACUGAGAAGAUGUUCGCGUACAGGGAGACGGUGUUGGAGGAGGCACAUCGGGGCAUGGAGCUGCGUGAGCACUGCCGCCAUAUAGUUGACAACGAUGACCGACACUAUAGAUUCCAUUCUCUGUGUGUACACCAAGGUUACUGCGACCGUGAUGGGCAUCUAGGUGCUCGAACCAUUAGUUGGGCUAAGGAACACGGAACAGCAGCAACAAUAUCGUAAGGAGAGUGCAGACGUUGGACAAAUGGAAGUAGCUCUUCCACUACUGGAGCAAUUGUUGGUGGAGUGGCUGCUGGCGCAGCCUUGCUAUUUGCUGUUCCUGCUAUCAGUUUUGCCUAUUGGCGGCAUAGGAAACCACAAGAGCAUUUUUUCAAUGUAUCUGGCUUCAAAGUUAGUCUUUGAUUAUUAUCUUUCUCGCAACAUAAGGGCAAACAACGUUUAUAUGUAGCAAACAAGUACGGUUUGCAAAUGUUUUAGGAACAUGUUUUUACAAUAAAGAUAUACUUAUAGUUUCACC